rnacentral:rRNA from 1 species
AGCGGAGGAAAAGAAACCAACAGGGAUUGCCCUAGUAACGGCGAGUGAAGCGGCAACAGCUCAAAUUUGAAAUCUGGCCUCGGCCCGAGUUGUAAUUUGCAGAGGAUGUUUCUGGCGCGGUGCCUUCCGAGUUCCCUGGAACGGGACGCCACAGAGGGUGAGAGCCCCGUAUGGUUGGACACUAAGCCUGUGUGAAACUCCUUCGACGAGUCGAGUAGUUUGGGAAUGCUGCUCAAAAUGGGAGGUAAAUCUCUUCUAAAGCUAAAUACCGGCCAGAGACCGAUAGCGCACAAGUAGAGUGAUCGAAAGAUGAAAAGCACCUUGAAAAGGGGGUUAAACAGUACGUGAAAUUGUUGAAAGGGAAGCGCUUGUGACCAGACUUGCGCCGGGCGGCUCAUCCGGGGUUCUCCCCGGUGCACUCCGCCCGGCUCAGGCCAGCAUCGGUUCUCGUUGGGGGAUAAGAACGGCAGGAACGUGGCCCUCCUUCGGGUGGGUGUUAUAGCCUGCCGUACGAUACCCUGACGGGGACCGAGGUUCGCGCUCCGCAAGGAUGCUGGCGUAAUGGUCAUCAGCGACCCGUCUUGAAACACGGACCAAGGAGUCGUCCAUUAGAGCGAGCGUUUGGGUGUCAAACCCGCACGCGUAAUGAAAGUGAAAUUAGGUGAGAGCUUCGGCGCAUCAUCGACCGAUCCUGAUGUUCUCGGAUGGAUUUGAGUAAGAGUUUUAACGGACGGACCCGAAAGACAGUGAACUAUGCUUGUAUAGGGUGAAGCCAGAGGAAACUCUGGUGGAGGCUCGCAGCGGUUCUGACGUGCAAAUCGAUCGUCAAAUAUGAGCAUGGGGGCGAAAGACUAAUCGAACUGUCUAGUANCU